GACGAACGCUGGCGGCGUGCCUAAUACAUGCAAGUAGAACGCACAGUUUAUACCGUAGCUUGCUACACCAUAGACUGUGAGUUGCGAACGGGUGAGUAACGCGUAGGUAACCUGCCUGGUAGCGGGGGAUAACUAUUGGAAACGAUAGCUAAUACCGCAUAAUAUUAAUUAUUCCAUGAUAAUUAAUUGAAAGGUGCAAUUGCACCACUACCACAUGGCCCUGCGUUGUAUUAGCUAGUAGGGGAGGUAACGGGUCACCUAGGCGACGAAACAUAGCCGAACUGAGAGGGGGGUCGGCCACACUGGGACUGAGACAACGCCCAGACUCCUACGGGAGGGAGCAGGAGGGGAUCUUCGGCAAUGGACGAAAGUCUGACCGAGGAACGCCGCGGGAGGGAAGAAGGGUCUCGGAUCGUAAAGCUCUGUUGUAAGAGAAGAACGGGUGUGAGAGUGGAAAGUUCACACUGUGACGGUAUCUUACCAGAAAGGGACGGCUAACUACGUG
rnacentral:rRNA from 1 species